GGCGGCAGGCUUAACACAUGCAAGUCGAGCGCCCCGCAAGGGGAGCGGCAGACGGGUGAGUAACGCGUGGGAACAUACCCUCCGGUUCGGAAUAGCUCAGGGAAACUUGGAUUAAUACCGGAUACGGCCUAGCGGCGAAAGAUUCAUCGCCGGAGGAUUGGCCCGCGUCUGAUUAGCUAGUUGGUGGGGUAAUGGCCCACCAAGGCGACGAUCAGUAGCUGGUCUGAGAGGAUGAUCAGCCACAUUGGGACUGAGACACGGCCCAAACUCCUACGGGAGGCAGCAGUGGGGAAUAUUGGACAAUGGGCGCAAGCCUGAUCCAGCCAUGCCGCGUGAGUGAUGACGGCCUUAGGGUUGUAAAGCUCUUUCGCUAGGGACGAUAAUGACGGUACCUAGACAAGAAGCCCCGGCUAACUUCGUGCCAGCAGCCGCGGUAAUACAA
rnacentral:rRNA from 1 species